rnacentral:rRNA from 1 species
GUCGAACGGCAGCACGGGGGCAACCCUGGUGGCGAGUGGCGAACGGGUGAGUAAUACAUCGGAACGUGUCCUGUAGUGGGGGAUAGCCCGGCGAAAGCCGGAUUAAUACCGCAUACGCUCGAGAGAGGAAAGUGGGGGAUCUUCGGACCUCACGCUAAAGGGGCGGCCGAUGGCAGAUUAGCUAGUUGGUGGGGUAAAGGCCUACCAAGGCGACGAUCUGUAGCUGGUCUGAGAGGACGACCAGCCACACUGGGACUGAGACACGGCCCAGACUCCUACGGGAGGCAGCAGUGGGGAAUUUUGGACAAUGGGGGCAACCCUGAUCCAGCAAUGCCGCGUGUGUGAAGAAGGCCUUCGGGUUGUAAAGCACUUUUGUCAGGGAAGAAAAGGGCGUCCCUAAUAUGGAAGCCUGAUGACGGUACCUGAAGAAUAAGCACCGGCUAACUACGUG